GAUGGAAGAACGUAGCGAAAUGCGAUACGUAAUGUGAAUUGCAGAAUUCAGUGAAUCAUCGAAUCUUUGAACGCACAUUGCGCCUGCCAGCACUCUGGCAGGCAUGCCUGUUCGAGCGUCAUUUCAACCAUCAAGCCCUAGGCUUGCGUUGGAGCCCUGCGGCUGCCGCAGGCCCCUAAAAGCAGUGGCGGGCUCGCUAUCACACCGAGUGCAGUAGAUUACUCUUCGCUCAGGGCGUGUGGCGGGUUCCAGCCGUGAAACCCCCUACUUCUCAAGGUUGACCUCGGAUCAGGUAGGAAUACCCGCUGAACUUAAGCAUAUCAAUAAGAGGAGGA
rnacentral:misc_RNA from 1 species